rnacentral:rRNA from 1 species
UGCCAAAGCCAUAUCUCCCUGCAGUUCUUGCCUGGUUUCCCACUGAAGCUAAGCAGGUUUUAGCCUGGCCAGUACCUGGAUGGGAGACCUCAUGGGGUCUGCUGGAAGUGGUCU